rnacentral:rRNA from 1 species
CGGAGGAUCCGAGCGUUAUCCGGAUUUAUUGGGUUUAAAGGGUGCGUAGGCGGCCUGUUAAGUCAGGGGUGAAAGACGGUAGCUCAACUAUCGCAGUGCCCUUGAUACUGAUGGGCUUGAAUGUACUAGAGGUAGGCGGAGUGUGACAAGUAGCGGUGAAAUGCAUAGAUAUGUCACAGAACACCAAUUGCGAAGGCAGCUUACUAUGGUAUUAUUGACGCUGAGGCACGAAAGCGUGGGGAUCAAACAGGAUUAGAUACCCUGGUAGUCCACGCCCUAAACGAUGAAUACUCGAUGUUAGCGAUAUACAGUUAGCGUCAAAGCGAAAGCGUUAAGUAUUCCACCUGGGGAUACGCCCGCAAGGGUG